UGCUUAUAGAGAAAGGCAGAGGGACUAGACCCAAUGAAGCCUUAGCAACCUGUUAUUUUAUAAGGUGCUACAUUCUACCCCAACUCAGAGAUGGGAAAGAUAAGUU
rfam:Sphingobacterium faecium PCAi_F2.5 genome assembly, contig: Scaffold1